rnacentral:lncRNA from 1 species
GUUUUUGCAAAAUUGGCCAAAAACAAAAAAAUUAUCGACUAAAAUAUCUAGCCAGUUGCGUCUGAGUUUAGCGAACCGACUAUAUAAUCAAUUUGUUUACAACCGGUUAAAAGGGCGGCAUGCUAUGAUUUUGUUUUUAGGUUAUAACUUAUAAAUUUGCUGGUUUUUUAAUAGAUGAAUGUUUUUGGUUCCAACAAUUCCAAAAAGAUACAAUGAAUAUAUCAUCACCAGUACAAAGAAUUUUGCCUUGUAACAAUUCAUCAAUUUUGGAAAGAAGUAUAGUCAUAAAUAAAACGAAACAUUCAGUCAAACAAGACUUCUUGUGGUUCACUAUUAACAUUGCAUUUCUGUCUGCUAUUUUAUAUGAUUUGUAAGUAUGAUUUUUUAUUUUUAUUAAAUACUGGUGCUUUCAACAGGUUAAGUGCCAAGGAUUUUUUCAAAACACAAAAUAUUGUGUAUGUCUACCCAAAUGGAUGGACAACAAAACUCAAAUUUUUGCUUAUGUUCACCUAAUUGGGUGUACCUACAACAAUAAUUUAUUAAAUAAAUUAAUAAGAGGACACCUGAUGAGGAGUAACCGAACCUUUUUUCGGAACCAGACAUGUUAACACAUGCAAGUACAGUUAUCCAAGUUACGCGAGUCUUGUGUUAGAUGGUACAAACAUUGAGAUUGGGACUAAAACUACAUUUUUAGGCAUGACAAUUGAUGUAAAUUUGCCAUGGAAAAGUCACAUACAGCAACUUAGUAAAAGGUUGAAUUCAGUGUGCUGUACUUUAAGGAUAUUAUCGCAAUAUUUGAAUCAAGAUGACCUAAAAGCAGUUUAGGUAAAAAUUUACAGAAAGGGUAGACCUUGAAAAUGCCGCUAAAAAGUGAAAAAAAAAGCUUAAAUUUUAUAAAAACAUCAAAAAAAAAAAUGUAAUAAUAACAAAAGAAAAUUUACAUGGAAAUGCUACAAAAGUAUAUAAUGUC